UACAGAGGGGGCGAGCGUUAUUCGGAAUUAUUGGGCGUAAAGGGCGUGUAGGCGGGCUUUCAAGUCGGUUGUGAAAUCCCUCAGCUCAACUGAGGAACUGCAUCCGAUACUGUUUGUCUUGAGGACGAGAGGGGAGAGUGGAACUUCUGGUGGAGCGGUGAAAUGCGUAGAUAUCAGAAGGAACACCGGUGGCGAAAGCGACUCUCUGGCUCGUAUCUGACGCUGAAACGCGAAAGCUUGGGUAGCAAACGGG
rnacentral:rRNA from 1 species